rnacentral:rRNA from 1 species
CAAUAGCGUAUAUUAAAGUUGUUGCGGUUAAAAGCUCGUAGUUGGAUUUCUGCCGAGGACGUCCGGUCCGCCCUCUGGGUGAGUACAUGGCACGGCCUGGGCAUCUUCUUGGGGAACGUAUCUGCACUUGACUGUGUGGUGCGGUAUCCAGGACUUUUACUUUGAGGAAAUUAGAGUGUUUCAAGCAGGCACACGCCUUGAAUACAUUAGCAUGGAAUAAUAAGAUAGGACCGCGUGGUCGUCUUGUUGGUUUGCACCGCGAGGUAAUGAUUAAUAGGUACAGUUGGGGGUAUUCGUAUUUAAUUGUCAGAGGUGAAAUUCUUGGAUUUAUGAAAGACGAACUUCUGCGAAAGCAUUUACCAAGGAUGUUUUCAUUAAUCAAGAACGAAAGUUAGGGGAUCGAAGAUGAUUAGAUACCGU